CCUACGGGAGGCAGCAGUGGGGAAUAUUGGACAAUGGGGGGAACCCUGAUCCAGCCAUGCCGCGUGUGUGAAGAAGGCCCUCGGGUUGUAAAGCACUUUCAGUGAGGAAGAACGCCUGGUGGUUAAUACCCAUCAGGAAAGACAUCACUCACAGAAGAAGCACCGGCUAACUCCGUGCCAGCAGCCGCGGUAAUACGGAGGGUGCGAGCGUUAAUCGGAAUUACUGGGCGUAAAGCGCGCGUAGGUGGCUUGAUAAGCCGGUUGUGAAAGCCCCGGGCUCAACCUGGGAACGGCAUCCGGAACUGUGAGGCUAGAGGGAAGGAGAGGAAGGUGGAAGUCCCGGGGGAGCGGGGACAUGUGUAGAGAGCGGGAGGAAUACCAGUGGCGAAGGCGGCCUUCGGGACUGACACUGACACUGAGGUGCGAACGCGUGGGUAGCAAACAGGAUUAGAUACCCCGGUAGUC
rnacentral:rRNA from 1 species